AGCAUCCUAGCUUCUGCAGUAUCCAAGACAUCUUCAAGGAGGCAUCCAUCAUUAUGUUGGAUAGCUACUGUACAUCAAAGCUGCAGCUGCUAAUUACCAUCAAACAAACUAAACAGAUUUGUGCACCUUACUAUGUGACCUAACCUGACAAAGAAAUCAGGGAAUAAUACCGGUCCGGAGGUUUGGGUCUGCAAGGGUAAAGCCGCUGUCGAGCAAGACAAAACCGACUCCCAGCGGUCUGAAAUUAACAUAACCAACUUGGUAAAAUGGCGCUAGUGUACACAAUGGAUAGAAAAUGAACUGGGUCGGGAGGAAGUUGGCGGAAAUGUGGAGAAGAUAGAAUUGACGUUACGUAGGGGUUCCCAACCUGGGAUCCUUGGACCUCUCAGGCAAUGGUUGGGGUCCAUGGCAUUAAAAGGCAGCGAAUCCCUUAUGUUACGUGGUUGGCACCAGCUGUGCGUGUGGUAUGGCUGACUUUUUUUUAAAAUAAAGACUUGGACAACCGGUGAUACCUGGAUGUUAUAUUAGUGGCAUAAACUAGAUUUAGUAACCACUUUGACGGGAAUAAUACAAAUUCGCUGUUCAGUUACUGCAUGAUAUGUUCCGGUUGAAAUGGGCUCGAUCGCUUUGGUGUGAUUUUUUUGGGCAUGUUUUACGGCUUUUAUUAAUGUUUCCAAGGUCACAUCAAUUUCUAAGAUCGAACUAUCUACACAAUGCAUAAAACUAACGUAUCAGUGUGUAGAGCCGAACCAAAAACAAGACGAAAUUUGCAUUAUUAGUGAGAUUAAAACAAAUUCCAUCUCGCCACCCUCUCUCCACAAAGUGGCCCAAUGAGGAUGAGCGCUCCGGCAUCACGUGACUCCCGGCGCCGGCAACCAAGUUAUCAACGAACCACGCGAAGUAUCAAAGCGAGACAUUGACAUGUGGGGCGAGCAAAACGAUCGCAAUUGUAGCUAUAAUUCCCACCCUUUACCUCUUAAGUACCUAUUACCAAGAAUCUUUGGCUGCUUACUUUAAGAUUCGAAAAAAAAAAGAAAUCCACCCAUUAUACAAGUGAACAGAACAUCAACUUUCGUUCAAACAUGGUGGUCGCUAGCUACACCGAUCAAAUUACCUUUCUCAUACAAGUUUCUUCAGUGGAAGCUGCAAUCUGCUUGGCCAUACGGAGUUUGGUGAAUAUUAGCCAGAAGAAAAUAAUCCACUUCAAGCUGAUUUUUUGUUUCCCCAGCUCAGCUGAGGGGCUGCUUAUGAGAGCCUCGUGACACUCUUCGCCCGUCAUAUUUCUAAUGUCCCCUCCCUCUCCAGCACGAGAAGAACUCUACACCGUGGUCCUUCCCCACCGAGCCCUGGCGGUGGCUGCACCGAAUUUCAGUGCAUCCCUCAACACGUAACUCUGCAGCCUGGAGAGUGCCAGUCAGCAGCAUUCCUCUACAGACAUCUUGAUGUGCUGGUAGACCGACAAAAUCUGAGCAUCUUCCACCGAGUUGAUGAUCUGGCAGCAGCACCUGAUAUUUAUCUCCAUAUGCGUCCCUGGGAAUGCCCGAAAUCUGAGCUGCUCGGGAUGAACAAUGACACAGUACUUUUCAUCUUCUUCCGCACCUCCUAUCCCAGUGAUAUGCAAUGCAAAUGCACUCAGGGGCCACUUUAUUCUGCACAGGAGUGGAGUCCAGUGCGGUCUACUGUUGCUGUGACUAAUCCACUUCAAGGUUCGACAUGUUGUGCAUUCAGUGAUGCUUUACUGCACGCUACUGUUGUAGCGCCUGGUUAUUGGAGUUACUUUUGCUUUCCUGUCAGCUUGAACUGGUCUGGCCAUUCUCCUCUCACCUCUCUCAUCAACGAGGCAUUUUCGCUCACAGAACUGCCACAUACUGGAUUUUAAUUUUGUUUUAUUACAGCAUUCCCUGUAGAGACCAUUGUUCAUGAAAAUCCCGGGAGAUCAGCAGUUCCUGAGAUAGUCCAACCACCCGGUCUGGCACCAACUAUAAACCCUGGUCAAAGUCGCUUAGAUCACAUUCUUCUCCAUUCUGAUGUUUGGUCUGAACAACAACUGAACCUCUUGACCAUGUCUGCUUUCUUUGAUGCGUUGAGUUGCUGCCAAAUGAUUGGCUGAUUAAAUAUUUGCAUU